UCGGGAAUUUUGGGCAAUGGGCGAAAGCCUGACCCAGCAACGCCGCGUGAAGGAUGAAGUAUUUCGGUAUGUAAACUUCGAAAGAAUAGGAAGAAUAAAUGACGGUACUAUUUAUAAGGUCCGGCUAACUACGUGCCAGCAGCCGCGGUAAUACGUAGGGACCAAGCGUUGUUCGGAUUUACUGGGCGUAAAGGGCGCGUAGGCGGCAAUUCAAGUCAUCUGUGAAAUCUCCGGGCUUAACUCGGAACGGUCAGAUGAUACUGCUUUGCUAGAGUGCAGAAGGGGCAAUCGGAAUUCUUGGUGUAGCGGUGAAAUGCGUAGAUAUCAAGGGGAACACCUGAGGUGAAGACGGGUUGCUGGGCUGACACUGACGCUGAGGCGCGAAAGCCAGGGGAGCAAACGGGAUUAGAUACCCCAGUAGUCCCUGAGCGGGCUGGCAAGGCGCAU
rnacentral:rRNA from 1 species